rnacentral:rRNA from 1 species
GAUGAACGCUAGCUACAGGCUUAACACAUGCAAGUCGCGGGGCAGCAUGGGGGUUGCUUGCAACUCCCGAUGGCGACCGGCGCACGGGUGAGUAACGCGUAUCCAACCUGCCCUUCACCACGGGAUAACCCGGCGAAAGUCGGACUAAUACCGUAUGUUGUCCAUUGACGGCAUCCGAUUUGGACGAAAGGCUUUGCGGUGAAGGAUGGGGAUGCGUCCGAUUAGCCAGACGGCGGGGUAAGGGCCCACCGUGGCUACGAUCGGUAGGGGUUGUGAGAGGAAGGUCCCCCACACUGGAACUGAGACACGGUCCAGACUCCUACGGGUGGCAGCAGUGAGGAAUAUUGAUCAAUGGGCGUAAGCCUGAACCAGCCAAGUAGCGUGCAGGAUGACGGCCCUAUGGGUUGUAAACUGCUUUUAUGCGGGGAUAAAGUGGCCCACGUGUGGGCUUUUGCAGGUACCGCAUGAAUAAGGACCGGCUAAUUCCGUG